rnacentral:rRNA from 1 species
GUGAGGAAUAUUGGGCAAUGGGCGAAAGCCUGACCCAGCCACGCCGCGUGAGUGAUGAAGGCCUACGGGUUGUAAAGCUCUGUGGGGAGGGAAGAAAAAGCGCAGGAGUAACUGCCUGUGUGUUGACGGUACCUCCUUAGCAAGCACCGGCUAACUCUGUGCCAGCAGCCGCGGUAAUACAGAGGGUGCAAACGUUGCUCGGAAUUACUGGGCGUAAAGCGCGUGUAGGCUGACAUGCAAGUCGGGUGUGAAAUCCCAGGGCUCAACCUUGGAAGUGCACUCGAAACUGCACGUCUUGAGUACUGGAGAGGGAAGCGGAAUUCCGGGUGUAGAGGUGAAAUUCGUAGAUAUCCGGAGGAACACCAGUGGCGAAGGCGGCUUCCUGGACAGUAACUGACGCUGAGACGCGAAAGCGUGGGGAGCAAACAGGAUUAGAAACCCUGGUAGUCC